rnacentral:rRNA from 1 species
GUGGGGAAUCUUGCGCAAUGGGCGAAAGCCUGACGCAGCCAUGCCGCGUGAAUGAUGAAGGUCUUAGGAUUGUAAAAUUCUUUCACCGGGGACGAUAAUGACGGUACCCGGAGAAGAAGCUCCGGCUAACUUCGUGCCAGCAGCCGCGGUAAUACGAAGGGGGCUAGCGUUGCUCGGAAUUACUGAGCGUAAAGGGCGCGUAGGCGGACAGCUUAGUCAGAGGUGAAAGCCCAGGGCUCAACCUUGGAAUUGCCUUUGAUACUGGCUGUCUUGAGUUUGGGAGAGGUGAGUGGAACUCCGAGUGUAGAGGUGAAAUUCGUAGAUAUUCGGAAGAACACCAGUGGCGAAGGCGACUCACUGGCCCAAUACUGACGCUGAGGCGCGAAAGCGUGGGGAGCAAACAGGAUUAGAAACCCCAGUAGUCC